rnacentral:lncRNA from 1 species
AGCCCCGCCGCCGCCGCCGCCGCCUAGCCCGGCUCGGGCCCGUGGCCGGGCGCGCAUUGUCCGCUGGUGCGAGGAGCGGGGCUGCGGACUCGGACGGCCGCGGGCCUGAGACACCGUAGCGGGCGGGCGGGGAGCGGUGCGCCGCGAGAGCCGGGGGGCCCGAGAGUAGGGACCGGCGCUCCGCGGGCGAGGCUGGGAACUGCGGGCUGGCUCCACGUUCGGCAACUGCCGGCUUCGGGCGCCGUUUGGACCGGCGCUUGCUCGGCGCCACCGGCCUGGAGCUGCCUUCGGGCGGCUGCGAGCCGGAGCAGUCCCAGCCUCGGGUCGGGUGACCGGAGUGGAGGAGCCGCGGCCGCGUCCAGCCCGGCCUGGGGAGCCAGGGCGAGUGGUGUUUUCCAGGCGGAUCGAUGGGGACAGCGGAACUCGAGCUGUGGGUCAGGGCAGCCGGGCUCCCAGGGGCCACGCUCAGGGACCCUCGCCCCGGGAGGAGCGAUUUGUAGGGCGGAUCUGGAGCAGAGUACUUGAGGCGCGCAGGACCCGGUCCUAGGAGAAAGAUUCGGGAAGCGGACAAAUCGAAGGGACGUUCGGGGUGAAGCGACAGGGCAGCCUCGCAGGGCUCGGAGUGGAUCCGAGGACCGACCCUGGCGGCUCUGCGGGCUCCGGAAGCCGCUUGGGGGGCUGCGGGCGCAGCGCGGCGGGCGGGUGCGGGUGGCCCGCAGGGACCGCGGCCUGCGCGGGGGGCGCUAGCUGAGAGGUGCCGCAUCGUGCCGGGGGAGUCCGGGCUGCGGCCGAGGGCAGGACGGGCUCGACUCCGGCGUCCUGGCCCGAGCCGCGGGCUCUAGACCCGUAGGCGCUGCCUGCGCUUCAUUCUCCCCGCCCGGCCGGCAAGCCCACAUGCGGGGCCGCCUGUGUUCAGCCUGGGAAACGGGGGCGCUCUGGGUCUUCUACCCUCACCCCACUUGUCUCGGGACUUCUCCAGCGUGUUGACUUCUUGGAUUUCGAGUGCUUUCCAACUGGUGGAAGCCAGAAGCUUCACAUUUUAGGCAGAUCUAGGCGACCCCCCCAC